rnacentral:rRNA from 1 species
UACGAAGGGGGCUAGCGUUGCUCGGAAUUACUGGGCGUAAAGCGCGCGCAGGCGGUUCUUCAAGUCAGUGGUGAAAGCCCGGAGCUCAACUCCGGAACUGCCAUUGAAACUGUAGAACUUGAGGAUGGAAGAGGCUCGCGGAAUUCCCAGUGUAGAGGUGAAAUUCGUAGAUAUUGGGAAGAACACCGGUGGCGAAGGCGGCGAGCUGGUCCAUUAUUGACGCUGAGGCGCGACAGCGUGGGGAGCAAACAGG